UCUUACUGCCUUGAAGGCAGUAAAGACGGUGCAGCCCAGGACAGCAAGGCAGUAAAGACGGUGCAGCCCAGGACAGCAAGGCAGUAAAGACGGUGCAGCCCAGGACAGCAAGGCAGUAAAGACGGUGCAGCCCAGGACAGCUGUCCUGGGCUGCACCGUCUUUACUGCCUUGCUGUCCUGGGCUGCACCGUCUUUACUGCCUUGCUGU
rnacentral:SRP_RNA from 1 species